CCUACGGGUGGCAGCAGUGGGGAAUUUUGGACAAUGGGCGCAAGCCUGAUCCAGCCAUUCCGCGUGAGUGAAGAAGGCCUUCGGGUUGUAAAGCUCUUUCGCAAGGGAAGAAAACUUAUCCUCUAACAUAGGAUGAGGUUGACGGUACCUUGAUAAGAAGCACCGGCUAACUACGUGCCAGCAGCCGCGGUAAUACGUAGGGUGCGAGCGGUACGUGGAAUUACUGGGCGUAGAUCGUGAAGACGCUGGUGAAAUCCCCGAGCUCAACUUGGGAACUGCGUUUGAAACUACAAGACUAGAAUAGGUCAGAGGGGGGUAGAAUUCCACGUGUAGCAGUGAAAUGCGUAGAGAUGUGGAGGAAUAGCAAUGGCGAAGGCAGCCCCCUGGGAUCAUAUUGACGCUCAUGCACGAAAGCGUGGGGAGCAAACAGGAUUAGAUACCCCUGUAGUC
rnacentral:rRNA from 1 species